AUUUUCUCCCACAGUAAUUGUGUUUAAAUAUUAAGUUUUCUUUGAGAUUAGGCUAUGCAGUACAAAGGCCAAGACUCCCUGUUAUUCCCUUAUGGAGACCAGCAGAAUCCCGAGUAUUUUUCAGUCUGAACAUUUUCGUACACAACCAUAAAGAACAAACUCAAACAAAGGACUGAUGGAGAAGAACUGUGCAGCUGUAACCUGGGUGAACACGUCUGCAAAAUGGAGGCAGGAUGACAAAGAGCAGAUCUCUGAAAGAAUGUAACAAGAUAUGCUCCUGCGUCUUGACUUGCAAACACUUGCAGAACAUCAUUUUUGCUGACAGCAGAAAGGUAGUGUUUUCAUGGUAAACACCUAAAUACAUAAAAUGAAUUUUGGUGACAUUUGCUGACCAGAUCCCAACUUUAUCUCUUCUACUCACAUGCACAAUAUUCUUUUACUGACUCUCCAUUCCAUGGCAAUAUGCAGUAUGGAUGCGAUGAAGCAUGCUAUUUGGGGAACGUCUUACAGACUGACUCCCUCAUGAGUAGCUGCCAUACAGCUUGUGGUUCAUUGCUUAGUUAUGUAAUAAAGUACACACUGUACUUGUACAAGGAAAAAAAAAAGAAAAGAGAUAAAUCAAAUACAACUAGCUUAUAACCUUUCACAUGGUGCUAUUAUUGUUUAAGGCAAAAUAGCUUGAUUGCUGUUGCUCUCACAAUUAAUCUGUCUCUGAAAUAUCAAGCUACACAAACAAAAACGAAGCACUGUCACAAGAUUGAUGCGGGUUAUAGAGUUCUUAUGAUCUAAUGGAUGCUAAUACGUUCUGAAGGCAAGAUAGAGCACUUCACUUAGCUUGUACUUUACUUAGUCCUACCUUUCUGAUUUUCUCAAUUUGAAAAGUUCCUCUCUGUCAUGGUUUCUUUUUUCCAAAUACUUUUUAGCUUGUUUGUUUUGUCCUUUUUGCACAUUUUGUGUUUUGCAUGGGCAAUAUAAUUUCAACAACAUGAUGUAUUUGCAUGAAAUGGUUGAUUUGAUAAAUGCUGCUCUAAAUGCUUUUUCCACUUUCUCUUGUGAGAACUCUUAAUUUUGCCACAAAAGGAGGACAUUAGAAAACCAGAAUUUUUUUCUCUGAGUUUGAUCCUAGUUUUCUGCUUAGAAACCUAUUUCAAGAAAGGCAAACUGUUUCCACAGAAAAUCACCUUAUCAAAACCAUAGCUACUCACCUGGAAAGAUGCCAAUUUCUACAUUUUUCUGGAGAUUCUUAUUUACUCACCAAAGUCUCCUUUUGCAUGUAUCCAUUAAAACAGGAGCUGAUUAUUGAAUAUUUGAGUUUCCAGAAAUGACCUUUCUCUGAUCACUCUGAAGAAUGUGCGUUAUCAUCUUCCUUCAUUCCUUAGUGAAUAACAAAAAUCUGCAAGAAUUUAAAAGAAUAGCAUCAUUCUUAUAUUUGACUCUCACAAAGAAUUUGGUUUGUACUGCAGUGUUUAUACAUUUUGGAAUGUAAAAUGAAUAAAAG
rnacentral:lncRNA from 1 species